GACGAACGCUGGCGGCGUGCUUAACACAUGCAAGUCGAACGGAAAGGCCCUGCUUUUGUGGGGUGCUCGAGUGGCGAACGGGUGAGUAACACGUGAGUAACCCGCCCUUGACUAUGGGAUAACUUCAGGAAACUGGGGCUAAUACCGGAUAGGAGCUCCUGCUGCAUGGCGGGGGUUGGAAAGUUUCGGCGGUUGGGGAUGGACUCGCGGCUUAUCAGCCUGUUGGUGGGGUAGUUGCUUACCAAGGCCUUGACGGGUAGCGGGCCUGUGAGGUUGACCGGCCACAUUGGGUCUGGGCUACGGCCCAGACUCCUACGGGAGGCAGCAGUGGUGAAUAUUGCGCAAUGGGCGGAAGCCUGAUGCAGCAACGCCGCGUGCGGGAUGACGGCCUUCGGGUUGUAACCCGCUUUCGCCUUUGUCGAAGCGUGAGUGACGGUAAUGGGUAAAGAAGCACCGGCUAACUACGUG
rnacentral:rRNA from 1 species